GGACCUCGGAUCAGGUAGGGAUACCCGCUGAACUUAAGCAUAUCAAAA
rnacentral:rRNA from 1 species